rnacentral:rRNA from 1 species
GAUGAACGCUGGCGGCGUGCCUAAUACAUGCAAGUCGAGCGAAUGGAUUAAGAGCUUGCUCUUAUGAAGUUAGCGGCGGACGGGUGAGUAACACGUGGGUAACCUGCCCAUAAGACUGGGAUAACUCCGGGAAACCGGGGCUAAUACCGGAUAACAUUUUGAACCGCAUGGUUCGAAAUUGAAAGGCGGCUUCGGCUGUCACUUAUGGAUGGACCCGCGUCGCAUUAGCUAGUUGGUGAGGUAACGGCUCACCAAGGCAACGAUGCGUAGCCGACCUGAGAGGGUGAGCGGCCACACUGGGACUGAGACACGGCCCAGACUCCUACGGGAGGAAGCAGUAGGGAAUCUUCCGCAAUGGCCGAAAGUCUGACGGAGCAACGCCGCGUGAGUGAUGAAGGCUUUCGGGUCGUAAAACUCUGUUGUUAGGGAAGAACAAGUGCUAGUUGAAUAAGCUGGCACCUUGACGGUACCUAACCAGAAAGCCACGGCUAACUACGUGCCAGCAGCCGCCGUAA